CUUUCACCUGCGACACAAUCCAAACAUCGUACAUUGUUAAAACGAAUUAAAUUUGUUAUUCUAUAAGUUUGAACAUUGAAAAGAUUAAGAAAUAUUGUAUUGUACAAAAUUAUGUCAUAUACCUGUAAUAUAUUACGAACAUAUUAUAUACGAUCAUAUUCAUAAUAAUAAACAUCGUCUCGCUACUUGGCAUUGAUAGGUGAUUGAUAGGUGAUUAAAAACUUCAAGUUGCAAAGAUGAGGCUCUUUAAAAUUUACAAAGAAAUUUAAGGACGUUAGAAGGCUGACUUCGCGCGAGAUGUGUCACUGCGUGUUUGCGAAAGCAAUACGAUCUUCCACUUAUAGCGUCACAAAACAACUGAAAAUGAGCCAGUAUCGUAAAAAUAAGGCCAAGGUAAUAGCGGCCUAUACCACCAGCAAUACCAAGCAACGUAACGAUAUGUUAGUACAUUAUUGUAAAUACAUUUUAUUUGAUCCAUUCGUCGAUCGAUAAAAGUCAACAAAGAAUUCGCUUAAUGUGAAUUCCUGUAGGUGCGAAAA